GAGAAGAACGUAGCGAAAUGCGAUAAGUAAUGUGAAUUGCAGAAUUCAGUGAAUCAUCGAAUCUUUGAACGCACAUUGCGCCCGCCAGCACUCUGGCGGGCAUGCCUGUUCGAGCGUCAUUUCGACCAUCAGGCCCUCCGGGCUUGUGUUGGGGCUCCCUGCGGCUGUCCGCAGGCCCUGAAAACCAGUGGCGGGCUUGCAAAGUCACACCGAGCGCAGUAGAUUUUUUUCAUCUCGCUCAGGGCGUGCGUGCGGGCGCCGGCCGUAAAAGACGAGAGCGCGGCCUCGGCCGCCCACAAAUACCACAAGGUUGACCUCGGAUCAGGUAGGAAUACCCGCUGAACUUAAGCAUAUCAAUAAGCGGAGGA
rnacentral:misc_RNA from 1 species